rnacentral:rRNA from 1 species
UUUCUGACCUUAUGACCUGGGCUACACACGUGCUACAAUGGAUGGAACAAAGGGAAGCAAAACCGCGAGGUCAAGCAAAUCCCAUAAAACCAUUCUCAGUUCGGAUUGCAGGCUGCAACUCGCCUGCAUGAAGCCGGAAUCGCUAGUAAUCGCGGAUCAGCAUGCCGCGGUGAAUACGUUCCCGGGCCUUGUACACACCGCCCGUCACACCACGAGAGUUGGUAACACCCGAAGUCGGUGAGGUAACCUUUUGGAGCCAGCCGCCGAAGGUGGGACCAAUGAUUGGGGUGAAGUCGUAACAAGGUAGCCGUAUCGGAAGGUGCGGUGGUUACCCUCCUAGG